UACGUAGGGGGCUAGCGUUGUCCGGAAUCAUUGGGCGUAAAGCGCGUGUAGGCGGCUCGGUAAGUCCGCUCUGAAAGCCCGGGGCUCAACCCCGGGAGGCGGGUGGAUACUGUCGAGCUCGAGUCCGGAAGAGGCAAGUGGAAUUCCCGGUGUAGCGGUGAAAUGCGCAGAUAUCGGGAGGAACACCAAUGGCGAAGGCAGCUUGCUGGGACGGUACUGACGCUGAGACGCGAAAGCGUGGGGAGCGAACAGG
rnacentral:rRNA from 1 species